rnacentral:lncRNA from 13 species
GUACUACGUAGGGCCUGGGGAUAUCACUCAUUCCAUCUCCUCAAGGGAUUUACUUGUGGAUAAACCAAGUAAACGGGCACUUGCCACAGAAAGGAUGACUUCUUCACUUGCAUGCCUAACUUUAUGGAGCUUCAUUUUAUUGUGCUUUGAAGAUAUUGUUUUUCUUUUUUCUUUUUUUUAAACAAAUUGAAGGUUUGUGGCAACCCUGCAUCGAGUAGUCUCUCAGUGACAUUUGUUCAACAGCAGGUGCUCACUUCCGGCAUGCUUCUACAUCACGUUUUGUGUCCUCUGCGAGGGAUCCUGGGGGCAACAUCCAAAGCUCCUGUUUAAUGACUGUGAAAUACCUUACGGAGCAGCCUUCAAAGCAAAAAUCACCCCCAAACCUUAACCUGGAUUUUUUUCAAAACCUCCAACAAUGUCACCAUUGAAGCAGCAAAGGGAACCAAAGCGGAAUCAGCCUGGCAGCUGGCAAGUCAUGGAGAACUGCCUGUCCAUCUGUGAGCUAACAACAAUCGCACUGGACGUCAACAAGGGAAAUGGAAACAGAGAGACCCAGCCUCCACGGGGCUCACACCCUGGGACCUGUGCCAGUGUGAACAAGGUUUUCCGGACUGGCAAGUCCAUGAGGACAGAGCCCUUGUCCAUCUUCUCCACCAGACCACCAGUGUCCAGCACAGUUCCUGGCACACGGGCUGUCAUAUCACAUGAGACAGCAAACGUAAAUGAACUUGAGGUUCCAUAA